rnacentral:lncRNA from 1 species
CAGAGCCUGAACCCUCUGUCGCUAAAAAUGUCAAUAUCUCAUUGCAAUCCCAAAGCAUCGCAGUUGAUAAACAUUUUAGCUCCACUCCUUCCUCACAUAUUUCCUGUGUGCACAGUGGAGCGCAAAGUGAUGGAGGGUUUGCAUUCCACCAAUCCACUGGAAGAGUAACAAAUCCCACUCCAACUUCAUCCAGCAACGUGAUGGCAUUCUCUUUUUCUCUUAAUGAUGACUCAACACCUCAGGAAGACAGAGCCUACCAGCAGUCAUCUAACAUUGCGGACAGCAUACAGGUGUUGGCUAAAGAAGGGACUGGACUGAAGGUUAGAAAAACAAAUGUCAAAACAUCUAUCAAUAGGGAAAAUACAAAGCAACCAAGCAACAGAAAUGAGAUGCAAGGAGAGGAAAAAGGAAACUCGACAGAGAUACGGCAUGCACAUGCAAAUGUUGGGAUAAAGAGCCUGGCCAAGUUGAGACGGAUGCAGCAGAUGAUGGAGACGCAGACCACGCAGAUUUCUAUCAAGGUGAAGCUGAGGAGGCAGACAAAUGGAGAAGUGUGGGAGGUUGUGAGCAUGCAAAACACAGAUGAGGCGUUGUCAGUUCUUACCUCCCUGACACGGGAUGGCUCCAGCCACCAAAGGCUGCAGACAGAACUUACAAAGAGUGAGCCUCCUCCAUCCUGUGUCCAGCCAGGCCCAACUCAUAAACCAGAGACCCCGACUAUUCAACCUGCUCCCACCAACUCCCCCGCUGACUCCCAGCUUCUCUCCAGUGACUGCCUAGAUAACGGCCUUGAGUCAGUCCCGCUGCCCCAGCCUCCAGGCCCUGCGGAGGAGUGUGAUGAGCAGAUAGAGAAGCUGUUGGAGGACAUCAUGAUGGGUCUGAACAUCCUGCCAAACUUGGACAGAGACUGCAAACAGUCUUCAUUAAUUCUUCAACCAAACCAGUGAAGGAGCAGAGGACCAUUUGCCA